UGAAAAGCCUUCAUCACUGACUUCUCAUGAGGACAAAGCUUUGUCUUUUUUCCUCCAUCAUAUGGUGUGUAUUCUACUAAAAAGAAAAGAAGAAAAAUUACAUUCAUUUAAAACUCUAAUGUAAAAAUAACUGCCCUCAACACACUUUCUCCCACCCAAAGGAAGUUAUUGGCAGAAUAAACAAACCAUGGGAACUUGGGAAAGAAGCAUGAGCCAGAAGUAGCAGGUUCACACUCUUCAUGGCUUUCAUCUAAGUCUUUACUAAUGCAGUCAUUGUGUGGAGGUCUCAUGUAACUCUUGAAACUUUGCUGAUAAUUAUUUCAUUUCUGUUUUCUUUUCCUACAAUUGCAAAUUUCAAGAAAUCAUUAAGAAAUCUGGAAAAGGCUCUGCUGCAGGAACCCAGUUCAAGAAAAUUGUUCACUUUUUGAAAGAGGAAGCGCUCAUAGAGUGGUUUGGGUAGGAAGGGUCUUUAAAAGUCAUCCAGUCCCAAAUGCCUUGCCAUGAAUUUAAAUUUAGACACCUCCAACCUGUUCCAGUGCCUCACCAUCCUCUGAGUAAAGAAUUUCUUCCUAAUGUCUAAUCAAAACCUAUCUUUUUUUUUGUUGUUGUUUGUUUAAAGCUGUUAUCUCUUGUC
rnacentral:lncRNA from 1 species